rnacentral:tRNA from 1 species
UGUUAUGUGGCUUAGUCGGUUAAAGCGCCGGAAUAGCCAUACGGAGUUGUGGGUUCAAGUCUUGCCAAAACAA